GGGGAAGUAAGAUUUGCCAUUUAAACUCAUUGUUUUCUGUCCUAAAUGUAUGGGGAUAUUAAUAAAUGAGUGGUUCAAUUUGGUCUUGGAAUGUCAACUGUGGAAAUAUAGCCUUUGGUUAAUGUUUUAAAUUACUUUAUUCUCCUUUUUCCAUUAUAAAUUAUCUGUCUCAUUUUUGGUGAUGUGAUCAAUAUUUGAAAGAUUUAUGUCCUUCCAUUCCCUUCUAAUAUUUUAGGUAAUAUUAACUUUUUGAUUUUGCAGGCUGGAACUGGAAUAGCAGAGCU
rnacentral:misc_RNA from 1 species